rnacentral:rRNA from 1 species
GCAUGUCGAGCGAAGCACUUGUGCUUAGCGGCAAAUGGGUGAGUAAUAUGUACCUAACCUACCUUAUAGACUGGGACAACCAAAGGAAACUUUGGCUAAUACCGGAUAUUUUACUUUUUCGCCUGAAAGAGUAAUAAAAGGGGCUCCCGGCCCCACUAUAAAAUGGGGGUGCACUACAUUAGCUAGUUGGGGGGGUAAAGGCCCACCAAGGUUAUGAUGUAUAGCGGGGUCGAGAGGCUGAAC